CAAUUCGAAAAUUUUCGGUAAUUGAUCAAUUUGACAGCUUAUUUUUACCGAGUUCGGUAAAUCAAUUCUUGAUUUAACGAAGUUCGUUAGUUUUCAUGUAAACAAAUCGCUUUGCCAUAAAUUUUCGGUAAUAAAACACCGAAAACUGUAAAUCAGUGUCGCGGUCAACACAAACGUCAAAUAUCAAGCGUCUCUUUCUGGCAGCUUUGAGCGCAACUGUCUCUCUCUAAUAAUCGAUAUGUAUUAGUGGCAUCCCGCUUGCGCUCUAGGAAAAGCAAAGCAGGAAAAAACGUAUACGCGUGUGGAUGUUUUCAAUCAAAUUUCGGUACCGCGUGUUGUUUUCAUGAGUGGUUGAAAUAAUACAAAAUUGAAAUAAUUUCCAGCUGCUGUUGCACCGAGCGUUGUCCCAACAACAACAACCGUCUACUUGUUCGUGCUGUGCUGGAGUUUCGCAUCUAGUGGCGUUAUCCGUUUCCGAUUUUUCCGCGUAAACAAGGUCAGUGUUUUCAUCUUUCACACAAAAUGUGAGCCAGUUUUUGACCAGAUAAUAAAGAUACGGCUUCCUAUUACAAAUCCAAAGUUGCGAAUCUAUCAAACGUAGUGUAAUAAACGAAAAGUGGAGCAGCGGCAAUAUUCCCAACAAGAACGCCUUCAGAACCGCUUUCGUCUCGACCGAGCCGGAAGAUAAUAAUUAAACUUAAAAAUCUAGUAGCUGCGCAGUUUCAGCAAAAGUUGGCCCUUCAGCAGCUGCAAAAACAACUAGAAAACCAGCGACAAUUGCAAUUACGGAAUUCAGCAAAAAAACUGCUCCUGGCUCAAUGCAGCUAACUCGAGAAAGCUUCGCAGGGCGAGAUUCAGUAGCUGUAUUGCAGGAAUCGGCUUCCGUCGCCCUGUCCGCAGGAUGUGCGAAUUAUCACCAACCGGUGAAAAUCUUCCAAUUGUUUCAACUCCUUCGAUUAACGGCCUUUUUGUUGGGUUCCACGCUCUUUGCCGCUCUAGUUACACACUUCCGGCAUGCGCCAGGCUAGACUAUGAAAUGUUGUCAUUUGAAUUAAGGAGGAAGAUACGUACCCGUUGACGAUUCGAAAGAAUGUUUCGUGAAAUGAUUGAGAAACGUCGGUUCCCGUCUGCCGUCUACAAAAAAAACUGUUCCAUUCAGGUGCAGUUCCAACAAUCCGUAAAAUUGUCGGGAAGCGACUGUACGUCAGAUACCUCGACAGCCCGCUAACAAAUAACUUUUUUUGGUGUCAUGGAGACUCUACCCUGAUCCAUUCCGUCGGAUGGGCUACCGUAUGAGUUUGAAGACGUUGAACCGUUGAACCUUUCAUCGAUGUGUGUGGCCACGUACGGGGCAGACGAGAAUGGAGCCGAUUUAUAUAGCUUCCUUGAAAAUUCUUCCUGUCGGAUAUGCCUUUCCAAACCCAUCGCGCUAACGCCUCCAAAGGCUAUUAUUGAAUAGGUUUAAAUUUAAAUUUAAUGGAAUUUUGAUCUACGAACAGAACUUUGUCAACAUCAGGAGUGAACCUCCAACCGAAUAUUUUUCCCUCAACUUUUAUAAGGCAGAGGAGGUUGCGAGGAAACUGGCAUCGGCGGAACAACAUAAGUAACGAAAGCAAACGUCGAAUCAUCCAGCUGAGUUACAAGCCUAAAAGAUGUGUAAAGCACCAGUCCGAAUCAAUAAAUUGAGGAUUUCCAUAACCAUGAAUGGCGGAACGUGCUGUAAGAUGACUCUAAGUAUUUGCUUCGUCUGAUUUCAGAGCGCGUAACAGAUGAAGAACGUCUGAAGUGGUUCUGGUGUUGGUGCUAGAGCAUCCUACUUGCCGGAUAUGCCGUUUUGAACCGGUAAGUGGAGAAAACUAAGUCGCUAUAGGAUUUUUUUGCCCCGAUGACAUAGUGAAUGCGAUGCGAAGCGGCGAAUGCGAUUCAAUGCGUCGAACCACAUUUGAUGAAAAUGUACGUGAAUCGCUUAAACCUGACAUAGUGAAGCCAAUGCGAAUUUGCGAUCAGACGCGGCGAACCUGUUUUGUGUUUGGUUUACCGCUUUCAAUUGCUUUACACACUCACAAAAUUUUACAUUGCCGUAUAAUUUCGCUUUAUUAAUUUUAUUAGGUCACAUUUCAAGAGGUUUCAAUGUUUUGAAAAAGAGUUUUCGAAGUAUUUCAUCAGUUAAUUUAUAUUAAAUCAGUUAAUUUAUAGAGCAAAACUUGAAUUUCGGCCGACAUUAGUUCCCGAAUUCACCUUACAUCGUGCAAGAUCAACCGGUAGUUUAUAAAAAUCCGGAUGUUCCGGGCGCGGGGACCUUGAAUUUCUACAGCGAUGAACCAUCUAAUGAAAACAACGAGCGGCUACACAUCGACCGAUAAAUCGUUAUCGGGGGGAAAACGCCGGGGGAACGAUGCAAACAGUGGAGAAUAGGAUUCCAGCCGGAAGAAAGGUUUUGAAACACCAUCAAGAAUCGGAUCGUUCAAAACGGAACUGAAGUGGCCCACCUUAAGAAGCAGAGUGAACUGCUCGAUUCCCUGGAAACCGCACUGCAGCUUAACGAGAGUUGCGUUCCAACCCACGCGUGGGGCAGUGCCGUUCUCAAGAAAGCGUGGAAGAGGAAAGUGUCAACCACGACGAGGGCUAGUGUUCUGGUUCGCAGUACCCAAAUUGCAGAGCUGGAACAUCGACUUCAUCAGGCGGAGGGAACAAAACCGGUUAAAAUCAACAGACUGGUUGUUUUUUACAAUCGAUUUUAGUUCGAUGUCGGAUCGAUUCACGGACCAAAACGAAUCAGUCACGCAGGACCAAUCAUGUAGUAAUUGGAAACCCAGUUGGGGAGAUGUUUCUUUUCUUUCGUCGGCUUUUACAAGUGUCGCUUCAAUUACAACCAAUACUACAAAAGUUAGUGAGCCUGGAAUCGAUGUCCCAAGUCCCAACAAGAAUCUUGAGAAUGCCACCUUUGAGCUUGAGACGCAGCAAACCAAGGUCUUAGAAUUUGAGCAAAAACAAAACAAAUUCUAUACAAAAAAGAGAUCAUGGCCUCCCAGACGGAUUCUAGCUUGAAAAGCAUAGAAAAUGUAAGGCAUCGAAUCCGUCCAACACAACUACCGAUUUGUUUUACAGUAUCCGAAUUGAGGAGCUGGAACACGAAGGACGACACUCGAAAAAAUCAGUCGACUGGUCGGUUCCACCGGGUCUGUAAAUUUGACCAAACCAGUUCAAUCAAACUCCUCCAAGGCCGCUCUUUUCCAACAGCUGGACUUGAUCGAUGCCCAGUUAGCGAAAAAGAUACAAAAAGAUUGAUUCAUUGAGGAAAAGUCGGAUUCAAAACAAUAUUCAAUAAUUGAAUACAAUUAUUGUACUUGUAUUAAAAGUUCCAACAGUAUAAAUGAUAAAUAAUAUAAUUCGCUGUACUUUUC